rnacentral:rRNA from 1 species
UUUAUUUACACUUCAAUCGCCNGGGAACUACGAGCUAAGCUUAAAACCCAAAGGACUUGACGGUACCCCAUAUCCCCCUAGAGGAGCCUGUUCUUUAAUCGAUAAUCCACGCUUAACCUCACCAUUUUUAGUUAUUCAGCCUGUAUACCUCCUUCGUCAGCUUACCACGUGAGCGUACAUUAGUGAGCAAAAUGCUAUUUCACCAAUACGUCAGGUCAAGGUGCAGUAAAUGAAAUGGGAAGAAAUGGGCUACACUCUCUACACUUAGAGGAAACGAAAAACUAUAUAUGCAAUCUAGUUGGAAGGCGGAUUUAGCAGUAAAAAGAAAUCAGCAUGUUCAUUUUAAUGCGGCACUGGGGUGUGU